CCUCACCCCAAAUUCACUUGUUGCUGAAGGUUGGCAUAGUCGCAACUAAGAGAGGGUCACAGCACAGGCCCAGGUGGCAGCCGGAGCUGGUGGACCCUGCCAUGCUUUCAGCAGCCCAGCUGGGGAAGCUGGUGUGGGCACCACCAUAGGAGACACAGGUGUGCCACACUGACCCUGUGGCCUGAGCUGACCUCUGUGGAGUGGCCCUUCUUCAGCCCCCAGCGGGCCCCAUGGGAUUUCCUGAGCUCCUGGACCAAGUUGGAGGCCUGGGCAGGUUCCAGUUUCUCCAGGUGGUGGCCCUGGUGGUCCCCAUCAUGUAUGUCACCACCCAGAACAUGCUGGAAAACUUUUCCGCUGCUGUGCCCAGCCACCGCUGUUGGGUGCCCCUCUUGGACAACAGCACCACCCAAGCCAGUGUCCCUGGGACCUUGGACCCCCAGGCCCUCCUGGCUGUGUCCAUCCCUCUGGGUCCCAACCAGCAGCCCCACCCAUGCCGCCGCUUCCACCAUCCACAGUGGCAGAUUCUGGACUCCAAUGCCACAGCCACCAACUGGAGCGAGGCUGCCACAGAGCCAUGCCUGGAUGGCUGGGUUUAUGACCACAGCACCUUCACUGCCACCGUGGUGACCAAGUGGGACCUGGUGUGUGACUCUCAGGCCCUGAGGCCCAUGGCCCAGUCCAUCUUCCUGGCCGGGAUCCUGGUGGGUGCUGCAGUGUGUGGCUGCACCUCGGACAGGUUUGGGCGCAAGGUGGUGCUGAGCUGGAGCUACCUUCUGAUAGCCGUGUCGGGCACCGCAGCCGCCUUCACCCCUAACUUCCCGCUCUACUGCCUGUUCCGCUUCCUAGCAGCCUUCGCGGUGGCGGGUGUCAUGAUGAGCACAACCAGUCUCUUGAUGGAGUGGACACCAGCGCAGGCCAGCAUCUUGAUGAUGACCUUGAACUCUCUGGGCUUCAGCUUUGGCCAAAUGCUGAUGGCUGCAGUGGCCUAUGGCUUGCGUCACUGGACGCUGCUGCAGCUGGCCGUCUCUGCCCCUUUCUUCCUCUGCUUUGCCUACUCGUGGUGGCUGCCAGAGUCGGCACGGUGGCUGCUAUCCAUGGGCAAGCUGGAUCUCGGCCUGCAGGAGCUGCAGAAGGUGGCCUCCAUCAACCGGAAGACAGCAGGGGACACCCUGACCAGGGAGGCAUUGCUCUUAGCCAUGCAGGAGGAGUUGAGUGGGGCUCAGGCUUCUGCCAGCCUGGGUGCCCUGCUACACGAACCUAGCCUGCGCCUCCGGACCUGGAUCUCCAUGCUAUGUUGGUUUGCCUUUGGCUUCACCUUCUAUGGUCUGGCCCUGGACCUCCAGGCCUUGGGCAGCAACAUCUUCCUGCUCCAGGUGCUCAUCGGGGUUGUGGACAUCCCUGCCAAGAUAGGCACCAAGCUGCUGCUGGGCCACCUGGGCCGCCGCCCCUCACAGGCCGGCUCCCUGGUGCUACCUGGGCUCUGCAUCUUGGCCAACACACUGGUGCCACACAAUAUGGGGUCACUGCGUUCAGCCCUGGCUGUGCUGGGCCUGGGGUCGCUGGGGGCUACCUUCACGUGCCUCACAGUCUACAGCAAUGAGCUUUUCCCCACUGUGCUCAGGAUGACAGCUGUGGGCCUGGGCCAGAUGGCUGCCCGUGCAGGAGCCAUCCUGGGGCCUCUGGUCCGGAUGCUGGGCAUUCACAGCCCCUCACUGCCCGAGCUGUUGUAUGGGACACUGCCAGUGGUGAGUGGCUUGGCUGCACUGCUGCUGCCUGAGACCCAGAACUUGCCGCUGCCUGAUACCCUCCAAGAUGUGCAGAACCAGGCAGUAAAGAAAGCGACAGACAGCACACUAGCACCCUGUGUCCUGAUAGCCACAAGACUCUAGCCUCCUAAGAGCCCACAGAGGGGUGAAGAGGAAGAAGCGAUAGCUUCUGGGGACAGCAGAGGUGCUUGAAGGCCUCCGAUUCCAAGGACCCAAGGCUGCCCUGGGAACCCUCUCAGUCAGGAGCCUCCUCUGGCACAGAAAGGUCAAAGGACACUUGACUAGCAGGAAUCUGCUCUGUGGACUGUCACCUCCCUGAUGCCCCCAACCUCCGUGGCUGCCAUAUCAGGCCUCUCACCAUUCUCUGCCCACUGUCUACAGCCCUGGGGUUCAGAGCUGACUGCCACGUCCCCUGGCUCAGCACAAGCAACAAAGCUCCAGCCUC